CAGGCAUUAAGAUAUUCUGCUGACUAGAUAUUUCUCUCAGAAAACCUUCAUUCGAUAAGUUGUUUUCCAGGAGGAUCUUUGGCACUGUCAUGAAAAUAGAUUUGCCUGAAUCCAUUCAGAUACACCUGAACUGCGCAUGUGGAAGCACUUAGCCUCGAGCUGAGCUAUGCGCUCACGCGCACAGAGUGUCAUGUUCGUGAUAACCAGUGGAGCCCUGGGAACCAGACGUGCAAGAAAUGGCCGUGUUGCAGUCACAGCUAAUGGCUUGGGUGAUCCUCCAGCCUCACCUCCUGUUCCAGCCACCGCUGCAGCCACCUGUCCAAGGUCGGCUUCAGCCAAUUUAGCGCAAGAGCAAACUCUCUCCCUGUGUGCCUCUCACCACCUGCCUUGCCUGGAGCUUCUCUGCCGC